rnacentral:lncRNA from 1 species
UUGUCAGUGACACAUGAAAGAGCUAUCCAGGUGAUUUCAGUUUCAAUUUUCAGAUGGAUUAUAUGUUGUGCAUUUCUUUAUAAUGUCCCUUCCCGUUUUUCAAUUUCAAUUCUGAUAUUUGAAAUCUAUUGGAAUCAAUGUACAUAACAUAUUGGAUUCAUUUUAUUUGAAUUCACUUCUUAGAUGCCUUUUUUUAUAGUAAUUUUGAUUCAUAAAAUGUGACUUGUUUA